UACGGGGGGGGGCAAGCGUUGUUCGGAAUUACUGGGCGUAAAGGGCUCGUAGGCGGCCAACUAAGUCGGACGUGAAAUCCCCAGGCUCAACCUGGGAACUGCGUCCGAUACUGGAUGGCUUGAAUCCGGGAGAGGGAUGCAGAAUUCCAGGUGUAGCGGUGAAAUGCGUAGAUAUCUGGAGGAAUACCGGUGGCGAAGGCGGCAUCCUGGACCAGCACCGACGUUCAGGCACGAAAGCGUGGGGGAGCAAACAGG
rnacentral:rRNA from 1 species